CACAUAGGCAAUCUUUCAUGGCGUGCCGUGAGUUCACUGAAGUCUGUCUCAGCACACACUCACACAUGCACGCUCAUACCCGUGCUGAGUGAAUCCAGUUAAUUCCCAGAGAACUGCAAAUAAAGUGUCAGCACUUUAGGAUGCUGCAUCAAAUACCAUUCUACAAAAGAGGAGAGCUUCAGCCAGUUCUCUUCACCACUUCCAAAGCGAGGAUGAAAAUUCCACCUGCUCGUCAAAACUCAGCCAGAGCUCAGCCUCCCUCCAAUGAGAAAAUGUCCCCUGUGCUACAAGCUGAAGCCACAAAGACCAGUGUCAACGGAGGAGACCCUAGUGCCCACAAAUAAAGCCCAGCACUGUACAUCCACGUAAAGUCCUGUGAAGUCAGAAGUAAGGGAGAAAUUAAGGAUUUAGUAGGGUCCCACAAAGUCUUUGGAACCAGAUCUGAUUGUUUCCUUUAGUUAAAUUCACUCAAACAUGCAAGCAUUUGUAUAAACAUCAAUGUUUUUUUCAGUGAUUCUGUGGGAUUCCUAAAAUGUGCAUCUCUUUAGUCUAAGAUGAAACACUGGUUAUAGGAUGAAAAAAAUUAAACAUGCAUUCUUCAGCUCUCAGACCUCAACCACAAACUGAAGUCCCAGAAAGAGUCAUUAAAUCACAAUGUGUACUUAAAAUAACAAAUUUGAAAUAAAAAAUGUUCCAAGACAUUAAA
rnacentral:lncRNA from 1 species